UGGAAUCCAGGUAUCGUUGUGACUGACAGAAUAGAAGAGCAGAACCCAGCGGGCACAUCAGGGAGGAGCUCAGUCAGAGAUCGUCUCCGUAUCAUGUGUUCAGACAGGAGACGCAGACGCACGUUACUCUUCAAGGGCUCGGAAGUUGCAAGAACUAGACUCAACAACAUGUCGCUUAGAGACAAACAGGAAAGCUGUAAGAUCAGACAGAGGAAGAUAAAGAAACAGAGUCAGCUGAAGGGCCUCCACGUUCCUGUGAGAGCGUACCGGCGCUCAACUGGAGGCCUUGUGAUCGAGCUGGUUUGAUCAAUAACUCAAUUGGUUUCAGAGACUCGAAAUGCUGAAAUAAACUUGAUCUUAACCAAAAAGGUACCGUUGUGUGGGAGCAACAGACCUGGAACAAUGAGUAUAUAAAAUACUCAAGUAUCAGUAAUGUACUUGGAGAUCAUUGGUUGCAGAAUUUUCUCAUCGUUUUGAUGCCUCAUUUAAAUGAUCUGGAAAUCUUGAUACCCGCCCAAAAGUUUUUUCACAUUCUGUGCUUUUCUCCUACACACGUCCGAGAUCGUUGCACCGCGUAGUUCGGUUCUGCACAGUCAGCUCAGGGACCUGCAGAACGUCACCGGCACCUUCAGCAAAGUCGGCAAAUGCAAAGCCGUCGCCACCAAAGACCUCGUGCGUUAAGAUCUUGAAGAAGAUGGCCGCCGGUUCCCGUGGGCCCAACGGAGAGCUGGCCAUGCUGAAAAAGAUCCGUGGUCUCAAUCCAUCAAAUGGAUCCUUUGUUUUCUCUUCCAAGUGGCGCAAACAGGCUUCCACAUUGUGAGACAGCCGUCCAUCCACCCGAAAGGAGAGAAUGGUCACAUCUGCACAGGACGAGGGGGCUUUGGCCGCCUGUCCCUGCACCAGCGUAACAACCAAGACCACUUUGCCUUUUAACAGGCGGCCUGCGGAGCGUCCGUGUGAUCCCACAUUCCGGCCGUCUGGCACGUCUUAAACCCAGAUAACUGCAAGGGAUUAUGCGCCCAGAUUACGGCCUCAGCUGUCCUGCUGUAUUUUAGCACGAGACGUUACAGAGAUGCAUACCGAGUCAUUGUUUAUCUUCAAAGAGAAAUGUGUGGUGGCGGAAAAAAAAGAAAGAAAGAACUGCUUUCCCACAUUUGCACUUACUUUACCCAUCAACAUAACAUUUCAAUCCAAGUCUUAUUGCCCUUGCUAGAGGCCAAAGCAAACUUUGCUUUUCUUCUCCAUCCAUUCCAUUGAAGGAUUUAGAUCCCAAAAUAAAUCAAAUCGGUGCUGAUUUAAUUUCCAUAUUCCUGGCAGAGAACAUGGGAGGCCUUUGAGGCCCCUGAUCUUUGUGUCCCUCCUUGUUGCUCUUUUCUGCCAAACAGCUGGGCUUCUUGCCAAUUCUCACCUGUUUUUUUUCCCCAAUUGUCCAGACAAACCCUCACCUAGCGCCCUUUAGUCAGAGAACC
ensembl:lncRNA